GAUGAACGCUAGUGGCAGGCUUAAUACAUGCAAGUCGAGGGGCAGCACAGAUAGCAAUAUUGGGUGGCGACCGGCAAACGGGUGCGGAACACGUACACAACCUUCCUUUUAGUGUGGGAUAGCCCAGAGAAAUUUGGAUUAAUACCACAUAGUAUAUUGGAGUGGCAUCACUUUGAUAUUAAAGAUUUAUCGCUAAAAGAUGGGUGUGCGUAUGAUUAGGUAGUUGGUAGAGGUAACGGCUCACCAAGCCUUCGAUCAUUAACUGGUGUGAGAGCACGACCAGUCACACGGGAACUGAGACACGGGCCCGACCCCUACGGGAGGCAGCAGUAAGGAAUAUUGGUCAAUGGACGGAAGUUUGAACCAGCCAUGCGGCGUGAAGGAUGACGGCCCUCUGGGUUGUAAACUUCUUUUAUGUGGGACGAAAAAGGGCCAUUUUUGGUCAACUGACGGUACCAUAGGAAUAAGCACCGGCUAACUCCGUGCCAGCAGCCGCCGUAA
rnacentral:rRNA from 1 species